rnacentral:rRNA from 1 species
UACGUAGGGGGCAAGCGUUGUCCGGAAUCACUGGGCGUAAAGCGCGCGCAGGCGGCGAUCUGCGUCUGGGGUGAAAGCCCGGAGCUCAACUCCGGGACUGCCUUGGAUACGGGGUCGCUUGAGGAUCGGAGAGGCAAGGGGAAUUCCACGUGUAGCGGUGAAAUGCGUAGAGAUGUGGAGGAACACCUGUGGCGAAGGCGCCUUGCUGGCCGAUUUCUGACGCUGAGGCGCGAAAGCGUGGGGAGCAAACAGG